rnacentral:rRNA from 1 species
AGUUUGAUCAUGGCUCAGAUUAAACGCUGGCGGCAUGCCUUACACAUGCAAGUCGAACGGCAGCACGGGGGCAACCCUGGUGGCGAGUGGCGAACGGGUGAGUAAAGCAUCGGAACGUGCCCUGGAGUGGGGGAUAACGUAGCGAAAGUUACGCUAAUACCGCAUAUUCUGUGAGCAGGAAAGCAGGGGAUCGCAAGACCUUGCGCUCUGGGAGCGGCCGAUGUCGGAUUAGCUAGUUGGUGGGGUAAAGGCCUACCAAGGCGACGAUCCGUAGCGGGUCUGAGAGGAUGAUCCGCCACACUGGGACUGAGACACGGCCCAGACUCCUACGGGAGGCAGCAGUGGGGAAUUUUGGACAAUGGGCGAAAGCCUGAUCCAGCCAUGCCGCGUGAGUGAAGAAGGCCUUCGGGUUGUAAAGCUCUUUCGGUGGGGAAGAAAUUGCAUAGGCUAAUACCCUAUGUAGAUGACGGUACCUGGAGAAGAAGCACCGGCUAACUACGUG